AGGACGAACGCUGGCGGCGUGCUUAACACAUGCAAGUGGAGCGACGAACCAGGGCUUGCCCUGGGGCAGAGCCGCGAACGGGUGAGUAACACGUGGGUUACCUGCCUCGAUGACCGGGACAACCCGAGGAAACUCGGGCUAAUACCGGAUGUGCCCGCAAGGGGAAAGGAAGCUUCGGCCUCCGCAUCGAGAUGGGCCCGCGGCCCAUUAGCUUGUUGGUGAGGUAACGGCUCACCAAGGCUUCGAUGGGUAGCUGGUCUGAGAGGACGAUCAGCCACACUGGGACUGAGACACGGCCCAGACUCCUACGGGAGGCAGCAGUGGGGAAUCUUGCGCAAUGCGCGAAAGCGUGACGCAGCAACGCCGCGUGGGGGAAGAAGGCUCUCGGGUUGUAAACCCCUUUCAGUUGGGACGAAGCUUCGUCGGUUAAUAGCCGACUGGAGUGACGGUACCUUCACAAGAAGCACCGGCUAACUACGUGCCAGCAGCCGC
rnacentral:rRNA from 1 species